GACAGUAUCAUAUUAUUGUGGAAACAAAGCAUUGUUUCUGUCAAUUUUAACAUUGAAGGGCUGUCAAAAAUCAUACUCACCUGUUCUACUGAACAUAGAAGACUAGACGCUAAGAAAUUCACAACUCAAGACCAUUGAUACAACCAGUUUUGAGCUUGAGCACAAAAUACUUCCGGGGAAGGGGAAAAGUGAUGGAAAAAAUAAACUCAUUUUUAGAAGGAAAGUAGAUCUAUAACAUCUCUCUCUUGUCUUUUUCAUGCACUAUUCAAUUAUGCCUAGAAUAAAUAUCUAUUUCUUUACUUCCUCGUAUUCUGCCUCUGGUGGCUGAUCUCCUCCUUGUGCACCACCACCUCCAGAUGCACCACCAGAACUGCCACCAGCCAUGUGCUCUCCAAUCUUUGAGACAGCUUUGUUUGCCGCAUCAAGUUUCGCCUUGAUAUCAUCAAUGUUCUCAGUCCCCAUUGCUGCUCUCAAAUCAGAAAUAGCUGUCUCGAUCUCUGUAACCACUUCCUUGGGGACCUUAUCCUUGUACUCACUCAAGCUCUUCUCGAUACUAUAUAUGGUAGUGUCUGCACUAUUCCUGAUAUCAAUAAGUGCCUUGCGUUCUUGAUCCUUCUGGGCAUGCAUUUCUGCUUCCCUGACCAUCUUGUCAAUCUCAUCUUCUGAUAGACCACCAGAUGACCGAAUGGUAAUCUGCUGCUCUUUGCUAGUAGCCUUGUCUUUGGCAGAUACAGUGACCAUACCAUUUGCGUCUAUGUCAAAGGUGACCUCAAUCUGAGGCAAACCCCUUGGGGCUGGAGGAAUACCAACAAGCUCAAAUUCACCCAGAAGCUUAUUAUCAGAUGCUAUUUCACGUUCACCUUGUAAUACCUUGAUGCCAACUUGCGUUUGGUUGUCCGCAGCAGUAGAAAACACCUGGCUUUUCUUUGUGGGAAUGGUAGUAUUCCUGUUUAUUAAUCUAGUGAAGAUACCUCCCAAUGUCUCAAUACCAAGAGAUAGCGGAGUUACAUCCAAAAGAAGCAACUCUUUAACAUCACCACGGAGAAUACCACCUUGAAGUGCAGCUCCCAUGGCAACUGCCUCAUCUGGAUUAACACCUUUGCUGGGGCUUUUACCAAAUAUCUCAGAAACUAUUUCCUGCACCUUAGGAACACGCGUCAUACCUCCAACUAGGAGGACCUCAUCCACAUCUUUUAAAGAUACUCCAGCAUCCUUCAAACAAUUCUUGCAAGGAUUCCUUGUCCUCUCGAUUAAGUUGUUCACCAAUGUCUCAAAUUUUGAUCUUGUCAGUGUGAUAUUCAGAUGUUUAGCCCCUGAUGCAUCGGCUGUGAUGAACGGCAAGUUAAUAUCAGUUUGAGAUGUUGAUGAAAGCUCUAUCUUAGCUUUCUCGGCUGCCUCUCGGAGUCUUUGCAGGGCAAGCUUGUCUUUUGAUAGGUCAAUUCCCUCAGUCCUCUUAAACUCGCUCACUAAAAAUUCUAACAAUGCAUUGUCAAAAUCCUCUCCUCCUAAAAAGGUGUCACCAUUAGUUGCCUUGACCUCAAAAACACCAUUUGAUAUCUCCAGGAUUGAAACAUCAAAUGUUCCACCGCCAAGAUCAAAAACAGCGACAAGGCCUUCUUUGCUAUUCAUACCAUAAGACAGCGCAGCUGCAGUAGGUUCAUUAAUAAUCCUUUGCACAUCAAGACCUGCAAUUCUCCCAGCGUCCUUUGUUGCCUGCCUCUGAGCGUCAUUGAAAUAAGCUGGAACAGUGACCACUGCAUCUUUAAUCUUCUUCCCCAAGUAUGCCUCAGCUGUCUCCUUCAUCUUCCCCAGCACCAUAGCACUGAUCUCCUCAGGGCUAAAAACCUUAUUCUCCCCCUUCACUUUCACUUGUACAUAAGGUUUACCGUCCUUAUUCACCACUUUAUAAGGCAAGAAUUUUAUAUCUCUCUGAACCUCUGGAUCAUCAAACUUUCUUCCAAUGAGGCGCUUAAUAUCAAAGAUUGUGUUUUCUGGAUUGAAAGCUGCUUGAUUCUUUGCAGCCUCCCCUAUCAAACGCUCGGAGUCAGUGAAGGUCACCCAUGAUGGAGUUAUUCUGUUGCCUUGAUCGUUGGCUAUAAUCUCUACAUGACCGUGUCGAGAAACGCCCACACAAGAAUAUGUUGUCCCGAGAUCAACACCAAUCACUGUUCCAAGUUUUGAAGAAUCAUCUGCUGCAGCUGAUCCUAAUCCUAGCAAAAAUUCUGAAAGAAAUAGAAAUAGAAAUGAAAAGGCUUUGUUCUUCAUCUUCAUUGAUAUUUUGAUCUUAGUUUCUGUGAAAUCAAUUCGUUUGCUUUCUUUCUUUCUUUCUUUUCUUCGUGUUAUUUUGGAACUUUGUGCUCAGCUCCUCGCAUAUUUUGAUAUAAAAUUGACAAAUAUGAUUCUCUGCACAAGCCCAUGUAGUUUGGGUGUAUGUUUAAUUAUUAUUGUAUUUGUUUUUUUUUUAAAUGUUAUGGCAUACAUUAGGUUACAAUUAAAAGAUAGGAAUGUUGCUAAUUUAACUUUUUCUUCUGUAG
rnacentral:misc_RNA from 1 species